UUCCUGAAAAUUUGUUGCCAGCGUUUGGAACUAAAUCUGAUCCUAUUAACGCCCACGAAACCUUCCCGCUAAUCCCACGAAUCAAUCACUACCAUCGUCUAUUUGGAUUGUUAUUCUUCCCGAGGGAAUGAAAGGAACUUCUGGUCAUAUGAGCUUCAGAAUCUACAUGGGUUGAAGUAAUAAAUCUUACAAGGUAUUUUCUUUCUUUUGUUUUUUCUUAAUUGUAUAGUUGUUACCGCGAUGGAUUUGUGAGAUCUUUUGUUGCGACACCAAACCUGCUAUCUUUUAUUCCCUUAAUUAGAAUUACUUAAUUUAGUUGCAUGGCUUUCCUAAUUUGAGUUAAACUUCUUAUUAUUAGCUUUGCUUGCUUUACUAGCAAUUCCGUAGCUUUAUAUACUUUGCUGGAGUUUGUAUCAAGGAAUAACUAUAAUCAAUACAACUCAGUUCUAUUACUUUCUUCUCUUUAUCUUCCAAGUAGAAGUGGCUAACCCCAAUUCAAAGAAUUUUAUCCAGAAUUCUUUACCUUUUAUUUGUGUUCUAACUAAUGUUUUGGUCAAGGAUCCUAACACCUUGAUCAGAGCAGAGCAGGUUUAGAUCGAACCUAAAUUUCACCAAACUUUUUUUUCCUUUUUCUACGAUGCUGCGCCUUAAUGAUACAGAAGAUUUUACCACAAAACUCACAAAAUCUUUUCGUGCUGUGUUUCUCGAAUUUUUUCCUCAUCCUACUGUUCAUGAUAUUGGUCAUCAACAAACCCAACACUGUCCUGGUAUUGCAAAACCUCCACUACUACCGACUCCACCACCACCUCCGCCUCUUAAUGGUGAAUCACAACAGCGGCGACCUAACUCUAGUAAUCUCGAGUUUCCUAACUUUGGAGGUACAGAUCCUAACGGCUGGAUAUUCAAUGCCGAUUAAUAUUUUAGUAAUUACUAUGUUACCGAUGCUCUCAAAAUUAUAAUAGCUUCUAUGCAUUUCAAGGGUGAGGCUAAUUAGUGGUAUAGACUGAGGAAAACCAAGAUUGAAGUUCUUACCUGGGAGGAGUUUUGUUCCUUACGUGCUCGUUUUUCAAACGAGAGAUUUGUUAAUGCUAGGAUGACAUCAAGUACCAUUAAACAGAACGAUGUUGCGUUUGGGGAUUGUCUCAGUUCAACUAGACCAAUCAGGGCUACACUUGCUGCGCUACCAGCUCCACUAGACGGACUAUUAGCCGAGGAAGAAGAAUCUGAGGAGGCAAAUACAAGUCCUUCAAACCCCAUCAAUUUACAUCAGCCAUGUGCAGGUGAACACCCUAAGAGUCUUUCGAUUCCUAUAACAACUAAAAAACAAAAUCAAGACAACGAGGUUUUGUGUGAUUCGCUAGAAUAUGUUGGUGAGUCUUCAAAUAUUGUUAAACUUCAUGAUUCAGUUAUUCAUAAUUGCGAAUUAUGUUCUUUGUCUUCUGUUGAUAAUCAUCAAGUUUAUCACGAAGAAACUCUCGUUCGUUAUAUAAUCCCUAAUGAGAUUGUUGAAUUAUACGAUGAGAAUUCUUUAGUAUCGUCUGAUAUAUUUAUGGGAGGAAAUUACGUCAGUAGACAAGCUUUAGAUGAAACGUUGUUGUUGAAUUUUAAAAGCUUCAGGUGUGCUGUGCAUCUUGCUGAUAAGAUUUGCAUUAAAGAGAUGUUUGUGCAAUGGUCUACACCAAAAGGUAUUGGGUGGAGAAACACAUGUGCCGCGGUUGAUGAUUUAGGAAACAGACGUUUCUUGUUUCCUAUUAUCUUUCCUGAAGUUCUUCAUACGAUUGUCAAGGAAUCACUGUAUGAUGUUCAAAGAAAUAUACUUGACAUUGGAUUUCAUGUUCGUGAUGCUAUUAUAAGUGCUUAUUUUGGUCGAGCAUAUUACGGUGAGGUGACAGCAAUUUUAGAUGAUUUCUGUUUGAAAGUGUAUGCACCUACCAUAAGCCCACAAAUAUUAUUCUCGGGUAUUUCAGGUUCUUACAUGUAUCUCAAGACCUUGGAAAAGGGGAUCACUAAACAUUUCGGUGCUAGAUUAUUUUUCCUUGGUUCUCUCUUAUUGUAUGGUCCAAAAACUUUGAAGGGUACAGAGCUCAAUAAAGAGAGUCCAAGAUCAGCAUCUAGAUUGGCAAUCGUCAGUCAAAUCAAUAACAAGGACACCUUAGGGAAAGAAACGAGAAGUUUCGGUUUUAAAAGUCAGAGAGAAACAUGUUAUAACUUCCUUGUGAAGACGCUAUAUCGUACUCUUUGUCCAACGCCACAUCCUUAUCCUAUAUAUACGGAUGGAAAAAAUAGACAUCCUUUGCUGAUCUGUAUUCGAACUUUCCUUAUAUAUAGGAAGUUCAGGAAAACCAUCUCCAAUCGCGAAAGUUUAUGAGGAAGUGGUGUUACAGAUGUCUUACAUUGAUAGGAUGGGUAGUUUUUAUUUUCUUUCGCGGGUAAAAUAAAAUUCAAUCCCGCCAGAUUGUGAUCUUCUCUAUAAAUCAGGGUGGUUCUUUUCUUCUUCUCCAUUCACCACGAACUGCAAGUUUAGGUUUUGAUAUAUUGUUGAAAGAUUGUAAGACAUGGAUCCUGCAAGUGAACGGAACAGGUUUGAAUCUGAAAAUGCCGCGGCUGAGGACUAUAGUGCUACUGCUACUUCGUUUGCUCCUAGUCCCUAUAUGUCCCACCAAAAUCAAUUCAUCAAUCCAACCCAAUUUCAGUUUCCGUCCCAUUUCCCUCACAAUAUUCAUGGUAAUUUAGGACCUGGCUAUGGGUUCCAAAGUAUGAUGAGUGCUGCUGUUUCUUCGACACAACCACAAAGCUUUCCUCCUCCGCAAACACAGACUCCUGUUUACCCUUCACAAGCACCGGACCUUGGCAAUCAGUUCAAAAAGAAACGAAAAAGUAAUCCUUCAACAACUCAAUCAGCCAAUCCUCCUCGGCGGAUUUGGACAACUGAAGAAGACACUGCACUAGUGAAGGCAUAUCUGCACAUUAGUGUUGAUGCAAUAAUAGGAAGGGAGCAGUCAGGUGGCACAAUGUGGAAUCGGAUCUUGAAAAUUUGGAGAGAAAAUAUGGGAACUUAUGAUGAGGACCGCAAUCCUAAUGCUCUAUCGUGCCGAUGGGGUAUCAUACAAGCUGCAGUUAACAAGUUUCACGGACAUUAUGAAUCACUCAACAGAAAUCCGAAAAGCGGAACUUCAAUCGAACUUAUGAAAAGUCAAGCUUUAAAAAUGUACAAAACGUUGGAGGGAACCACAUUCAGGUUUGAGCAUUGUUGGGAGGUUAUGAGAAAAAAUCUGAAAUGGUGUUCUCAGAAGCUUACAAAGCCUGGCUCCUCAAAGAAAGAUAAACCAGUAGAUGUCAUCAAUCUCGACACUCUAAAGCAACCAAUUACAUCAACUGAAGGAAGUGAGGACAACAAAAGUGAGGGUGUUCCUCGCCCAGAUGAAGGAAGAAAGUUGAGUAAGGAGAAUGCUAAGAAAGCCCAUGAACAGAAGGGAGUGAUUGGAUUUUUGACCAGCUAUCAGUCCACCAUAGAGAAACAAAAUGUGUUUAGCCAAAAAGAGUUGGAGCUGAAGAUUGAGAAAGAGAGAAAAGAAUUUGAACUUAUGAAAGAGGAUUUGGCUCUGAAAAAAAAGGCUUACGAGCUAAAGGAAGAAGCUCGAAAGAAGAAAGAGAUGAUAGCAGAACGCAUUGAAGAAGAACGCAUCCUGAAUAAGGACCUUGAUAAAAUGCAACCAGUUAUGAGAAAAGCUUACAAAAUAAUCCAGGCUCGUAUACUGAAGAAUUGGAAAGAAGAUGGGACUUUGGGGAAUGAUUCUGAGAGCAGCGACGAUAGUCUUUGAGUUGUUUCUCCGUUCUACUAAUGUUAAUUGUUGGUUUUUAUUAGGUUGUCAUUCAACAUUACAGCUGAAAUGUUGUUGUUUUCUUUUGGGUUGUCACUCAGCAUAGUAUUUGAGAUGUUGUUGUUGUCUUUUAAUGUAGUAGCUAAACUUUGUGGUUGUAAUUUGACAUAAUAGUUUCCUUCUAGUAAUGGACUAAUUUAUAAUUAUUUGCUUCUGA